CAGGAAAAACGAGCGGAAACGCACUCCCAAACCGAGCCCAGCUGGGGAGGGCGCGGGGCGAGCAGCCCGUGCAGCGUGAAUAUUCAGCAGGGGUGGGGCCCGAACAAUGGCCGGCCGGCGGGCACGGCGAACCGCGGCCGGGAUGCGGCGGCCGGCCGACGGGGCGCUCGCGGGAGGGCCAGAGCAGGGAUGAGACGGACCGGGGCGUCCCCGGUGAGGUGCCGAGGGCUACGUUUGUGACAGGCUUGUAGGUGAGGAAUUUGUUGAGCACCACCUGGCCGCCGGGUCCCAAGGUUUUCUUGGAAACAGUACCCAAACCAGCACCUGUAAUUGCCUUGCGCUGCCUUUCUUACCUCACUCAGUAGUGGUGAACUAAUGUAGAAAAUAUCAUCAGGACCAGAUCAAGAGGCCAG